AAUUAGAAGAAACCCAUUGGAGACAGGCUUCAAGGGAGUUAUGGUUAAAGGAAGGGGAUAGAAACAUGAGCUACUUCCACAGUAUGGCAUCCGCCCAUAGAAGAACCAAUUACAUGGACAGAAUCAAGAUAAAUGGGGUGAGGCUGUCAGGGGAGCAAGAAGUUAGGGAAGGGGUAGCGAAUGCCUAUCAGCAGUUGCUUUCAGAAAGCUCGGAUUGGAAGGCGGACAUUGGAAGGCUGCAAUUAAACCAAAUCAGUCUUCAAGAAGCGGGGAUGCUGGAGCUCCCUUUCUCUGAGGCUGAGGUUCAGGUUGCUUUGAUGGAUAUGAACAGGGAUAAAGCCCCAGGACCAGAUGGUUUCACUUUGGCUUUCUGGCAAAGUUGCGGGGACUUUGCGAAGGAGGAGAUAUUGGAUAUGUUUAAGGAGUUCUAUGAGCAGAAUGUUUUCCUCAAAAGUCUCAACAACACCUUUUUGGUGCUGUUACCAAAGAAAGGAGGGGCCGAGGAUCUAGGGGACUUUAGACCCAUCAGCCUUUUGGGAGGGCUGUAUAAGCUAUUGACUUAGGUGCUGGCCAAUAGACUAAAAAAAGUGAUAGGAAAAGUGGUUUCCCUUGAUCAGAACGCGUUUGUCAUGGGAAGACAAAUUUUAGAUGCUUCUCUAAUAGCAAAUGAGGUGAUUGAUGCAUGACAAAAAAGGGGUGAGAAAGGGCUAAUCUAUAAGUUGGACAUUGAGAAGGCGUAUGAUGACAUUAAUUGACAGUUCCUAAUGAAGGUUAUGCAAAAAAUGGGGUUUGGUCCAAAGUGGUUGAGUUGGAUGUGGUGGUGUAUUUCCACAGCUAAGUACUCAGUCAUGGUGAACGGAGUCCUAGCUGGUUUCUUCUCAAGCUCGAAGGGGCUGCGCCAAGGGGACCUCAUUUCCCCCUAUCUGUUUGUCAUGGGAAUGGAAGUGUUGAAUGUUUUAAUUAGAAGGGCUAUGGAAGGGGGAUUUAUUUUGAGGUGUAACAUUCAGCGUGGUAGAGGGCGGGUUGUCCACAUUUCACACUUGCUUUUUGCCGAUGACACAAUCGUGUUUUGUGAGGCAAAAAAGGAGCAUUUAACGCAUUUGAGUUGGAUUCUGUUUUGCUUUGAAGCCACAUCAGGGUUAAGAAUUAAUUUGGCAAAAAGCGAGAUCAUUGUGAUAGGGGAGGUGGAAGAGGUGGACGAGAUGACAGUGGAGCUAGGGUGUAGGGUGGGGCAGCUGCCUGCAGUCUACUUGGGGCUGCCACUGGGGGCGCCAAAUAAGGCCGUUUCUGGAUGGGAUGGGGUAGAAGAGAAAGUGAGGAGGAGACUUGCCCUUUGGAAAAGACAAUAUAUUUCAAAGGGUGGGAGAAUCACUCUUAUUAAGAGCAUAAUGGCAAGCAUGCCAGUGUAUCAAAUGUCCCUUUUUUGCAUGCCCAANNNNNNNNNNNNNNNNNNNNNNNNNNNNNNNNNNNNNNNNNNNNNNNNNNNNNNNNNNNNNNNNNNNNNNNNNNNNNNNNNNNNNNNNNNNNNNNNNNNNGAAAGGGAGGGGCUUGGAAUAAGGAAUCUAACCCUUUUGAACAAAGCUUUACUUGACAAAUGGAUUUAUAGAUUUGCUUGUGAUAAGGAGGCUCUUUGGAAGCAAGUGCUUAUGGCGAAGCAUGGACAUGAGGAUUUCGGUUGGAGGACAAGAAAGGCUGUGGGUGCGUUUGGAGUGGGGGUUUAGAAGGAGAUUUUGAAGGAAGCUGGAUGGUGUUGGGAAAAAUUAGCGUUUAAAGUGGGGAAAGGCAAUAAAAUUAGGUUCUGGACUGAUCUUUGGUGUGGGGAUACAGUGCUGUCCCAAAGAUUCCCGCACCUCUUCACUUUGACAGCUCAUAGGAAUGCGACAAUAGAAGAAAUGUGAGACCAGAAUUUUGGAGAAGGAGGAUGGAAUUUGAGUUUCAUUAGGGAUUUUAAUGAUUGGGAAUUGGAUAUAGUGGGCAACUUGCUUCGUGAGUUGAGGGGUCACAGGAUAACUUUGGAGGAAGAUUCGGUUCUUUGGAAGGAAGGAGGAAAGGGGUAGUUUAGAGUAAAGGAAGUUUACAGCCUGUUGGAUAGGCCUUUGACGGUUGUUUUUCCGAAAAAUAAAAUUUGGGUGGAGAUAGUUCCAACUAAAAUUGUGUUCUUUGUGUGGGAAACCACUUGGGGGAAGAUUAUGACUCUUGAUAGACUCCAGAAGAGAGGGUGGCAGCUCCCCAAUCGCUGUUUUUUGCGUGCUUGUGAAGAGAAAAAUGUAAAUCACAUUCUCAUUCAUUGUACAGUGGCCAGAGUGCUGUGAGAUUUAGUUUUGGGUUUGUUUGGGGUUCAGUGGGCAUUUCCUGAAACUGUAAAGGAGGUUUAUUUAGUUAGAGGGGUUCCUUUGUGGGGGAAAAAAGGAAAAAACUUUGGAAUUCCAUUCCGUUAUUUUUUGGACGGUUUGGAAGGAAAGGAAUAGACUAGCUUUUAAGAGAGGGGGGGGGGGGAGUUAGCAAUUCAGAGACUUAAAUAUUCUUUUGUUUGUAACAUAUGGGGUUGGGCUAAAUUGUAUAUUGGUGAGGAGCCGUAUUCCCUUAUAGGCUUUCUGGAGUGGUUAGCCUCCAGAUAAGGGGUGGUGGGUUUUUUGCUUGUGAGGCUUUAGUAGCCUUGUAUAUCCCCUGUAUACUUUGUGGCUAGUUUGCCUCUUUUUAAUGAAUUCUGUGCUUACUUAUAAAAAAAAAAUAAAAUAAGAAGUUGCAUUUAAGUUAGAACCCAGUACUUCUGAAACUGAAAUCAUAAUUAAAAAUGUAAGGAGAUUCAAAGAAGACAAUCAUAUUGAUGUAUAAAUGUUCUUGAUCUUUUAUAGUAUUGACUCAAUGCGAACUCUAUCAAGUUUCAAAUCAUGAAGGAAUAUAGCAGACUUAACACUUGAGCCCUGGCUCAUGUAGUAAAGGGUUGGGGAGGGUUUGUGGGAAGUUUCACGUUCAACUUCCAAUAAGGACAAAAUUUACCUAUAAAAAGAAAGGCUAUUCAACCUUUUAAAUAAGAUGUUCAUAUGCAGUCUAAAUUUGGAUAUCCAUCAAAAAAAAAAAAAAUGCAGUCUAAAUUUGGAUGUAUUGAUAUGGAUAUUAUAAUGCUGCAUGUAUAACAUUAGAAACUAUGUGACAUUUUUUUUCUUUGUGACAGUUAAAAUUCUCUUUGGCUUGGGUAUUCUGAAUUGUCCAUGCAUGUUAAGGGUUGCAUACCUUCUUUGCUUUCGAUUCUUUACAUGGACUGGCUUUCAGGGUGCAAUUAAUUUGCUGAUGGCAGUAUACAAGAAGGAACUCAGGGCAAUGGGUGGUUAUUUGACUGACUCAAGCAAGGUAUGCACUUGUCACCUGUGUUAUUUGCUACAUGGAUCUAGUUGCCAUAUUGCAUUUUGCUUCAGUUUUUCAUUUGCUGUAGAAUUUUUCUUAUUUUCUGUUUCAUUUUCUUUUCAUUUCUCAGCCAAAUUUAAGCAAUGUGGAGCAUUUCAUUCAGGCUGUAGGCUCCUAUGAAGAUAAAAUAUUCCAGAAAAGAGCUCGAUUACAUCAGGUUUGCUUUGUUGUCAGGUUGACAAGUUCUUUCCAAAGUGUUAAUGUUCACUUCAAGGAUGAAAAUAUAGGUUUUGAUGGAUAUAUUGGUAAUAUGAAGUCAAAAUAGAUAUUUUAACACAAAAUAUCGAUUAGACAAAAAUUAUAAAAUAUAUUGGAAAUAUUAGGAAAAAUUCUUAGAAAUGGUUUAAGAAGUCAAAAUAGAUAUUUUGAAGUUGUUUUGUUGGAAAAAUUGAUAUAUAUAUGUGUGUGUGUGUGUAUGUAUGUAUUGAUCCAAGAUAACAAGUUGCACAAUGACAAGUUGCACAAAAUUCUUAGUAGACUUUCUGAAAACACAGUUUAUCCUCCAAGCAGCUCCUGUUUUAAUAACUGUAAAUAUUUUGCCACUCUAAGCAGGUUGUUUCAUUCUCUUGUGGCCAUGAUUUGAUUGGAUUGUUUUACAAAAUGAUAAUCAUAGUAAUAAUAAGUUAGUUGAAUGUAAAGGAUAAAGGUAGAUCAAAUAGCAGUGGCUUUUGACUUAUUCUUUAUAUUUUACCAGAUUGCAAUUGGCACAGAUGAUGUUUAUAAGACUGGAUAUGGUGAUGGUGUUAAUCAUUGCAGUGAACCCACUGGUAAUCCUAACAACUUACUAGCUAAGUCUUAAGCUUAUGUUGAAGAUGAGUCUAAGGGGAGGAAGAAGUCGGUUUGUGGUGGAGUCUAAGUUGUUUGAGAUUGAGGUUGAGGAGUCGGGUGGAAAGUUGAAAGGAUGCAUAUGGGAGAGAAGUAGGGGCUUUGAGUCUUGGAUUAGAUUUGGGGAGGCUAGCCUUCGUUGUCUUUUGGAAGGCGUUGAAACCUGUUGUAGAGAGGUGGAUGAUCAAAGAUGGGCUAUUGAAUGGUUGGAGGGAAACAAAAAGUUUAGAAUGGAGCGACGGUUGAACAAGGCAGGGAGGUUCAUCCUAUGCUCUGUCCGAGAUAUGGAAGCAAAAAGAUACAGCAUUAUCUUCCCUGAAGGGAAGGGUCAGGCCAGUGGAUGGAACUCUUUGGCUGUGAGGUUGAGAGGUCUUGGAGUGACACCGACAGAAGGAUUAAAGAUCACCAAUGUGCUAGAGGUUCCGUUGAAGCCGAAGGGAGUCCUGAAGGUUCAGUGGAAGGAAAAGGGGGUGGAAAUGAAGUCUUUUGCAGAAGCUGUUAAAUCAACACCAAGAAGGGCGGGUGAGUCAGUGUGGUUAGAGGUAGGGGAAAAAGAGGUGCGUGGUAGACUAGAGCAUCUGAAACAUUGUCUAAUAGGGAGGUGGGGUUCUAUCUCAGUUCCACUACCUGAGUUGGAUUUCGUUAGGAAUUGGACUCGCUAGAAUUGGGAGGUUAAGGGGAAGUUGUCGAUUGCCGUGUUGGGCAGGGGUAUUAUGUUAUCGAAUUCGAGCAGGCUCAAGAGGCUGAGCGUGUUUUGGCCAGAGGCAAAAGAAGCAUUAAGGAAAAUUGGCUUAUCCUGGACAAAUGGAAUCCGGAGGUGGGGUGCUCCUUAAAGAACUCCAUUGCCGUAGAGACAUGGGUUAGGGUGGUCGGGCUCCCACUCCAUCUCUGGAGUCUUGAGGUGUUUAAAAGUAUUGGAGAUGGGUGCGGAGGAUUUAUAGCAGUGGAUGAAGGAACCAAAUCCAUGUUUGAGAUGCAAUGGGCGAGGAUUUUGGUGAAGCGUGUGGAUUGGGAGGUACCUAGCUCUGUUCAUAUAGUUUUGGGGACGGGGUGCUUUGCCUUCAUCUAUGGUGGGAAUCUGCACCUUGGUUCUCGCAGGUGGUACCGGCGGGAAGCUCCUCCGGGAAGGGCGGGUGAAGAAGUUGAUGGGUCUCAUCGGGUGGCUUGCUGUGGGAGUCAAAGGAAGGGGGUGGAGCAGUUGGGGUUGCAGGUGGAGGUACAAGACGUGGCGCAUAAUGGAGGAAAAACUCUCUUUCCCUCUGUUGAGGCCUCUGUAGAAGGGACUGAUGAGAGGAGAUGGGCUAGUGGUCCAGCCGACCUAGUGGGAGGGGGUAGGGAGUCCUCUCCCAUCAGCUUGGUCAACUGUGGAAGUGGGCUGGCAGGCCCAAGCAGGAGCUCUGGCCCUUCAGCUUUAAGCUGUGGGGAAGCCUAAGACUUUUGUCUUGAAAGCCGGAUGGUUUUGGGCCGGGAUCCAAGGCCCAAUCCCCUUUCCUUAAGAGAGGGGGUGUCGGGUGAGGCAUGUGGGCCUGUUCAAGCUGGUGCUUUGAAAGAUGGGGCCUUUUAUGGAAACGAGAACCCAUCCUCGCUUCCUAGGGCUCGGUUUCUACAGUCGCUUCCCAUUUCCAGGGGCGCAAGUCAAGACGCAAGAGGAGAAGUCGAUCCCCUCGUCGGGCUGCCGCGUGACUCGAUGACGCGAGUUUCCUCUCGGAUGAUGGAUCGGGGGUUCCUGACUGACGAAGCUUUAUGCGAAGAGGCCUCUAGGUACGUCGAUCUCUGUCAUAUUCCUAUGGGGGGUCGGGAUCUCUCUUCUCCUUCUCCUUCUUCUUUUGGACGGGUGACAUUGAAUGAGGGGACCAUCGGUGUUUUGGUUUCUGAGGUCAACGAAGAGGAGCAGACUCCGUUGAGUAUCAUUUUGGCUGACGAUAGCAAUGGGGUGCUAGCCUCUGAGGGAGAGAAGCCAGUGGUUGGAGAAGGUCCCGGGGGGGGGGGGGGGGGGGGGUUUUGGGGGGGUUUUUUGAACUCGGGGGGGGGUGGGGGGGCCACCGUUUUUUUGGGAGGUUUUUCCAAUUUUUUGGGUUUUCCCCCGGGGGGUUUUAAGGGGAAAUUUUUAAUUUUUUCCCUAGGGGUAAAAAAAAAAAAAAAGCAAAUUUUUAAAAGGGGCCCUUUAGGGCCCCUUUAUUUUGUUGGGAAUUUUAAAAAAUUUGGUGGGUUUUUUUUUUUUUUGGGGGCAAAAAAGGGAAUUUUUUGGGUACAAAAAGGGGGGGUUUAAUUUCCCAAGUUUAAUUAAACUUAAAAAUUUUUUUNNNNNNNNNNNNNNNNNNNNNNNNNNNNNNNNNNNNNNNNNNNNNNNNNNNNNNNNNNNNNNNNNNNNNNNNNNNNNNNNNNNNNNNNNNNNNNNNNNNNGGUGGGACGACAGUUACUUGGCGAGGUUUAGCAAAUUCUUGGGCUUCUCCACGGACGGGUUUGAAGGCGAAAUUCUGAAUUUGCUCCUAAGGACUAAGAGAAGAAGAGAGCAAAAUUUGAAGAAGGGCACGUCAAGGACCACUAAGUUUGAUAGGGAAUUGAAAAAACUUGAGUGGUCUAUCAAUUAUACUGGGGCAAGAAAGGAGAAUUCUGUGGUCAGAUAAGGAGGGGUUAGAAUCUCGAGAGUUAGAUGAAGCUAAAGAUUCUAUCUUGGAAUGUCAGAAGGGCUAAUGAUAGAAAUAAAAGGAAGGUUAUCAAGGCCCUAAUCAGAUCGCAAAAGGUGGAUUUGGUGUGCUUGCAGGAGACCAAAAUCCAAGAAAUGUCCCAAGGGGUUAUUCACAGUCUUGGUGUGGGAAGAUUCUUAGGUUGGGGAGCUGUGAAUGCAAGAGGGGCAGCUGGAGGGGUGGUGGUGUUCUGGGAUAAGAGAGUGUUGGAGUUAGUAGGCCUGGAAGUGGGAAUCUCGUGUCGAUUCAAGAAUUGCGAGGAUGGGUUUAUGUGGUUCUUCACAGGGGUCUACGGACCUACUAUGAAAAGGUAUAGAGAACCUUUUUGGGAAGAGUUAGGUGCAAUUCGAGGUUUGUGGUCUGAUCCCUGGUGCAUCGGUGGGGACUUCAAUGUUAUUAGAUUUCCCAAUGAACGGAGUAGAGUAGGAAGACUAUCUGGUUCUAUGAGAAGGUUUUCAGAGGUGCUAGAUGAGCUGGCUUUAAGAUAUUUGCCUCUUCAAGGGGGUCCUUAUACGUGGAGUGGGUGGUUAAAUGGCCAAUCCAGGUCGAGACUGGAUCGCUUCCUGAUUUCGGAGGAUUGGGAAAACCAUUUUAGUGGAGUGUCUCAGUGCACACUCCCAAGGCCUGUGUCUGACCAUUCCCCAAUCCUGUUAGAUGGGGGUGGAGUUAGGAGAGGUCCUAUCCCUUUUCGUUUUGAGAAUAUGUGGUUGAAGGAGGAGAGAUUUAAGGAGCUUCUGAAGGGCUGGUGGCAAGGAUUUAAUUGCAGUGGUUCAUAUAGUUUUGUCCUCUCAGAAAAACUAAAGGCCUUAAAAGUUAAGCUGAAGAAUUGGAAUAAGGAAGUCUUUGGUAAAGUGGGAGUGAACUUGAGGAUGGCUUUGGGCAAAGUAUCUUUUUGGGAUGAUCAAGAGAGGCAGAGAACGUUAAACGAGCAGGAGUUAGAGGCUAGAAAGUAGGCCAAGGAGGAGUUUAAAAAGUGGGCGAUUAUGGAGGAAAUCUCGUGGAGGCAGAAAUCAAGACAAAUAUGGUUGAAGGAAGAAGAUAAGAACAUGAGAUUCUUUCAUAAGAUGGCGAACUCUAACAGUAGAAGGAAUUGUUUGAAAAAGAUUAAAGUCAAAGGUAUUUGGCUUUCAGACGAUCAAGAUAUUCAAAGGGGAGUGGUGAGGGCCUAUUAGGAUCUGUUAUCGGAUCCUGGUGGCUGGCACCCGAGUAUGAGCAGCUUGGAGUUUGAUAGUAUUGGAAGAGAGGAGGCUGCCAGGCUGGAGGAGAUGUUCUCCUUGGAAGAGGUGUAUCUGGCCCUUUCGGAGCUAAAUAGGGACAAGGCUCCUGGACCGGAUGGAUUUCCCAUUGCCUUCUGGCAGUUCUGUUGGGAUUUUGUCAAAGACGAAAUUAUGGGCUUCUUUAAGGAUUUUUUUGAGAGGGGAAAAUUCGUUAGAAGUCUUAACUCCACGUUUCUAGUUUUAGUCCCCAAGAAAGGUGGGGUUGAGGAGUUACGUGACUAUAGACCCAUCAGCUUGGUGGGUGGUCUGUACAAGAUUCUCGCCAAGGUUCUAGCCAAUAGGCUGAAGAAAGUAGUGAGUAAGGUGGUGUCUUCUUCCCAAAAUGCCUUUGUUGAAGGAAGGCAAAUCCUUGAUGCAUCGUUAAUUGCUAACGAGGCCAUAGACUCGAUGCUAAAAGGGGAUGAAGCUGGUGUGUUAUGCAAACUGGACCUAGAGAAGGCUUAUGACCAUAUUAACUGGGAUUUUCUGAUGUCAGUGAUGCAAAAAAUGGGCUUUGGGGAGAAGUGGGCCGGCUGGAUCAGGUGGUGCAUCUCCACUGCCUCCUUCUCAGUUCUGAUUAACGGUUCGCCAGCGGGUUUCUUCCAGAGCACUCGAGGGUUAAGGCAAGGGGACCCCAUUUCCCCCUACUUGUUUGUCUUAGGAAUGGAGGCCUUAAGCUGCCUCAUUAACAAAGCGGUUAGGGGGGGCUUCCUAUCCGGUUGCAGGCUAAGGGGAAGGGGUGGAAAUGAGAUUCAAGUAUCUCAUCUAUUAUUUGCGGAUGAUACGCUGGUCUUUUGCAAGGACUCCCAAGACCAAAUGGCUGUUCUAAGCUGGCUUUUAAUGUGGUUUGAAGCCAUUUCUGGUCUGAAUAUCAACUUGGAAAAGAGCGAAAUUCUGCCGGUGGUAAGAGUUGAGAAUGUUGAGGUCUUGGCUUCUGAAUUGGGCUGCAAAGUGGGUUCUCUUCCUUCCACUUGCUUGGGGCUGCCUCUAGGUGCUCCUCACAAAUCGGUGGUUGUGUGGGAUGGUGUGGAAGAAAGGAUGAGGAAGAGACUCGCUUUGUGGAAGAGACAGUUUAUUUCUAAGGGGGGGAGAAUCACUCUCAUUCGGAGCACUUUGGCUAGCAUGCUGAUUUAUCUUAUGUCCUUGAUGCGUAUUCCAAGAGUUGUAAGAUUGAGACUUGAGAAAAUCCAAAGGGAUUUCCUUUGGGGAGGGGGUGUGUUGGAGAAGAGGCCUCACCUUGUAAAAUGGGAUGUGGUUCGCUCUCAUAAAAUGAAGGGUGGAUUGGGGAUCAGAAAUUUUUCUAUCCUCAAUAGGGCCCUGUUGUGUAAAUGGAGCUGGCGCUUUGCGGCUGAAAGAGAGUCUUUUUGGAAACUUGUUAUCAGCUCGAAGUAUGGGGAAGAAGAAGGAGGGUGGAUCUCUUGUGAGGUAAGGGAAGGCUAUGGGGUGGGGUUGUGGAAGGAAAUUAGAAAGGAAGGCGUUUUGUUGUUUAAAAACGCUUCCUUCACUGUAGGGGAUGGUAGAAGGGUGAAAUUUUGGAAGGACAUUUGGUGUGGAAACACUCCCCUAUGUAAGGCUUUUCCUUCUUUGUUUGCCUUUGCGGUAUCCCAAGAUGCGUGGGUAGAGGAUUUGUUGGGAUUAUAUGGGGGAUGCGGGGGGAUGGUAUCCUUGUUUUUCUAGGUCUUUUAAUGACUGGGAGCUGGAGGCGGUGGCGAGUCUCCUUUCGGUCCUUCAAGGAAAGAGGCUCAAUGUUGGGAUGGAGGAUAGAGUCGUGUGGAAUGCUUCUAAGAAUGGGAUUUUCUCUGUAAAAUCCCUUUACAAUACUCUGGAUUCUGGUGGUGCAGUCCCGUUUCCGUGGAGAAUCAUAUGGAGCCCUUGCGUGCCUACUAAGGUGGGUUUUUUUGCUUGGGAAGCUUUUUGGGGGACGGUCCUAACCCAAGAUCAUCUCAAAAGGAGGGGCUGGUCUCUAGCAAACAGAUGCUUCUUAUGUUGUGAUGAUGAGGAGACAAUUAACCACAUCCUUAUUCAUUGCCCCAAGGCAAAGGUGUUGUGGAAUCUUAUGUUUACAAUGUUUAGGGUUAAUUGGGUCCUUCAGCUCACGGUUAAAGACACUCUCCUUGGUUGGUCCGAUUCCUUUGUAGACAAGAAGCGUGGGAAGAUUUGGCGGGCAGCCCCCCUUUGUUUACGAUGUGGAAAGAAAGAAAUAGGAUAGCUUUUGAUAAUGAGGCUUUGUCGAUCCAAAGAUUGAAAACCUCCUUUGUUUGUAAUCUUUUCUCUUGGACUAAGUCUUGUUUAGUUGGAGAGCCCCACUCCUUAAUUACUUUUGUAGAUUGGUUGGGCUCUAAUUGAGGGUUGGUGAGUGUAUGCUUCCUUGUGCUUUUUGUUUUUGGGCUCCUUAAUUACUUUUGUAGAUUGGUUGGGCUCUAAUUGAGGGUUGGUGAGUGUAUGCUUCCUUGUGCUUUUUGUUUUUGGGGCUUCUCGCAUAUACUUCCUGUAUGCUUCGGGUUACCUUCUUGCUUCCCUCUUUUAAUAUAAUUAUUCUAUGUUUAUCUAUCAAAAAAAAAAAAAGUUAGUUGAAUGGUUUUCAUCUGCUUCUCUUCAUUGUAUUUUGAACAUAUGGUCCUUAAGUUUUGUUGCUGAGGCGGAGAAAUAGAUGGGUUAGGGUUUUGGAAUUGCUGUUGCUUUUUUGGAACUGUUUACCUUUCAAAGCUUCAAUUGCUGUGGUUGCUUUUUGAGGCUAGAAUUUGUGCCAUGUGUCCAAUUGGAGGAUGCUUCAUUGGUUUUGACCGACCAGGCUAGAGUUUGAGCCAUGGGUCCAAUUGGAGGAUGUUUCAUUGGUUGUGAAAGGCACAGAGGAGGUUCUAGAGAUAGGUCACCUCUUAUGUGUUGGUACAUCUACCAGGUUCAUUUGCUUGUGGAAAGGAUAUCUACUUUGGUACAUCUAUUAGGUUCUAGAGCCCUUUAGUUGUUGGAACCAGAUUGUGCUACUAUUUUUCUAGUAGAGAUUAUCUGGAAUUCUUGGGUUCCCUCUAAGGUGAGUUUCUUUGCUUGGGAAACUUGUUGGGGGAAGGUGUUAACUUGGGACUAGCUCCAAAGAAGAGAUUGGUUGUUGGCCAACAGGUAUGCUAUCUACAACGAGGAGUCAAAACCCAUUUACCACAUUCUACUUCAUUGUGCUGAGGUAAGGAUCUUAUGACUCUUGGUGUUCCCUUUAUUUGGGAUCCCAUGGGUUAUUUCUGCCUUAGUACAGGACACCAUACUAGGGUGGCUAGGUUCUUUUGUGGGAAGAAGGCGUGGGAAGGCUUGGAGAGCAACCACUUUAUGUAUUUUUUGAACUAUAUGGAAGGAAAGAAAUUGAAGAGUGUUUAAAAUUGAGGAGAUGUUACAUCAAAGUCUUAAAAGUUUGUUUCUUAACAAUCUUACUUUUGGAUUUGGGUUUACAUUCAUGGGAAUUCUUUGUCUUUAAUUGAUUGUGUAGAUUAGUUAGGUCCUUCUUGAGGGUGGGAGCUGUUUUUUGUUUAUCCCCCUUUUUUGUUAUGUUUUUCUUGGUCAGUCUAUACUCCUAGUGUACUCGCUUUAUGCUUUUUUAAUACAUUUUGUUACUUAAAAGAAGAUUACUAGGCUAGCUUGUUUCAGAUGUUCUAUAUGCAGGAUGCUAUAGCUUUUUGUACUCUCCCCCUAUAAUAAAUGAUGAGAGAGAAAUGCAUGAACACUGAUUUUCAAGUAUUUUCUGUUACUCUUUUAUGUGCUUGACCUUACUGGAUAAAUUAACAAGAUUGUGCAAUGGUAAUUGCACUGCUUCUUAGUAUUUUCUAAGGUUAAAACAAUAGUUAUGAGCAUUAUCACAUUGAAUAAUACAGGAUGCAGCAUUGCUGUAAUUGCUGGAUGUUUUUCUAAUAAAGUUAAAUCAACUAUCAUCUUAUUAGUUUUCUUGUGCUUUUACUUUCCAGCGGCAGGCAGAGAGAAUCAAGCGUGAGAAGGCACAGGCAAGAAGAGGAGAUGACGCAGACCCUCAAGUUAAACCUGAAUUUCUGGUUCCUGUUUCUCGGUAUCAUGGCUCUCGUCUUGCUUCAGCGCCAACACCUUCGCCAUAUCAACAACAUGAGAUUAAAAGCAAACAGUCUGGGACAUCUGGUAGUCAGGGACGUAAAGUUGCACGUUUUUCUUCAGGAGCCACUGUUGGUGCUGCAAUUGUUGAAGCUGAGAAUGAUCUUGAAACAGAAGUAUGUUUUUCUGUUACCGAAGAGGCAUUUUAAUGUAGUUCUAGCGCCACCAGCCAUUCUUCAGGACCUUUUUAUUUUUUAUUUUGAUAAACAAACUGAGGACUAAUUUUCCUUGCUAUGAGCCAUAGUUUUAAAAGGUGUAAGGUUGCACCUAAGGGGCCAAAGUAUCCUAUAGCUUAGGCACAACACAAGGCACGCGCCUAAGUGAAAUGAAACCUGACCUGUUAUGCAUAUCAAUUUUAUAAAAUAUGAUAAAAAAUCCAAUAUAGUCAAUAAAAAAUUUAAGAUUUCAAUUACUUAAAAAAAACAAUCAACAAAAAAAAGUAAUGAAACUAUAUAAAUUUCAAUAUACAAUUAGAAAUUUCAAGAAUAAAAGUGUUUAAAAAUGAAAAGUAUAGUGGACAAGGUGCGCCUCUUCAACAAGGCGCAUGUCUUGGCAAGCAAGGUGCUGUGGCUAGGGAGUGAUUGCGCCUUGAGCCUAGGUGCGCUUUAAGCACGCCUUUUAAAACUAUGGUAUGAGCUUUGUCAGCAUAUAAUUAAUAGUGCAUUUUUGUUAUGUUUUUUUUUUUAUCCCAUACAUUAAUGAAAUUUGCUAGUUUUUUUUUUUUGGGUAGAUAAUCACACAGAAAAAAAUAUAUUAAGAGAAAAGGGUGCCUAAAGGGCAACCCAAAGCAUAUAGAGAGUAUACAAGAGGUGGCUAAAGGCAAGAACAAAAAGAAGAGGGGAUUCAAAAAACUCACCAGCCCUCAUCUAGAACCCAACCAAUCAAAAUUUGCUAGAUCAUUACCUGCUGAAGUUAUGCUUAUUAGAAUUAUUUUUCCCUCUUGAUUGUCAGUUGCACGAUAACAAAGACGAACUGAAAGCAAAGCUGAAGGAGUUACUCCGCGAGAAAUCUGAUCUUUUUAACUCCAAAAAUCCAGAGGAAGACAAGGUUUGAAUACCUGAUUUGUGUUCUUUGGUUUUAUGAAGGAUUUAAUUCUUAUGCACUUUGUGGUGUAAAAUAUUUCACCUGAUGCAUAUAGUAGGUUAAUUUUUUUUUGAUAAGUACAUAUAGUUGGUUAAUUAGGAUUCUUGUAUCUAUAUGGUACAGCAAAAGGAACUAAUCCUGCUACCUGCCUGUUGCAAGAAGUGCAAUCUACACCUUCUAAUGAACUUCCAGCAGUUAAAUGACAUAAAAUAACAGGAUGUUGUGUUGUGAGUGCAGUUUGGAUUAGAUAGAACAAGUUUCUAAGGUUACAAGGCCAACAAGUAGCUCCAGAAUCUUUAAUGUGUCUAAAAAGAAGGAAAAGGGGGGAAAAUAUAGCUAGACAGUCUGAUCUAUACCAUUAUAAAGCCUGCUACAUCAUCACUUCAUUCAUCACUCAUUAACCACAUUGCAAUCCUCUGCAAAUUUAUCCUCGUUAUAUUGCAGUUUAAUUCAUGUAAAGUAUCAGAUUUCAAUACUCGUAAUAUUUUAUCUGAGGAAUGUUCUUGUCUGUCUUGUCUUCUUCUCUCUUCAUUUUACCUGUUGAUUUGUUUUUCCUUUUAAUAUCUCAUCUUUGGGUGAAAAAGAAUGAAUAACUUCACUAGAGAAUGUUUAUUUAUUAUGGCUAUAGCAUCUCAAUGCUAAUUAACCUUAUAAUCCUAACCUUUCACGUUACCUUAAACCGUUUAAAUGAAUAUCAUAAAACCUCUUAAGAUGAUUAGGAUCAAGAUGAUACUCUAUAAACAUUAGCAUCAACAACAUGAGGUUAGAAGCAAACAAAAGAUAGAAGCUGAUACUCCAUGCUAACCAGUGGCCCUAGCUAAGGCUGAUUGGUGUAAUUAUUUUGGCUUGGUAAGCCCCUUGGAUGUUCCUACAUCAGUAUAGGUAUGGUACAGAAGAUUUAAAAAUGGGUGAAAACAGUGGCACCUUCUAAAUGCUUGACUGUAACUCUCUCUAGGUCUCAUUUGGUUCAUAGGAUGCAAGGAAUAUUAGUGUCUGGAAAUAUUAGGAUGAAAUUAUUUCUAUACCUAUACCUGUGUUUGGUUUAUGCUGUAAUACAUAAUUUUUUUUUUUUUGGAUCAGAGUAAUACAGAUUUAGAUUUAGUCACAUUGUCAAUGUUGUCCUUUAAGUGGAAGCCUAAUUAGGAUCUGUGAGAUACAGUUAUAAUUAUGGACGAUAAAAUUAUAUUAUCUCAUCGAUAUAUAUUUUUUAUUUAUUAUGGACGAUAAAAUUAUAUUGUCAAUGUUGGAAUGGGAAUAUGACAAGCAUUCCCAAGCUUUGAUUACAUGAAUCAAAGCUAAAAUUUUUGAACUAUUGAUCCAAAGUCUUACUUGUGGGUUAUAAACUUAUCUUGGAGGAGAAGCCUUGUGCCAAUAUCUACAGUUAUAUGAAUGGGGCAAGUGUUAUCAGGAAAGAAUUGGAUGUAAAUUAGUGAGCCUACUAUCAUUUGGUGUAAAAAUCUUCCUAUGCUUCCUUAACUGAGGAUAGUUUGGAAACCAUGGGUGCCAAUUAAGGUGGGUUUCUUCGCUUGGGAAGCUGUUGGGGCUUUGGGGAAGGAUUUUAAUGCUUGAUUAGCUUAGGAGGGGAUGAAGUAUAUUGAACAACUGUUACAUAUGUAAAAGGGAAGGAGAGUUGGCUGAUCAUAUGCUCUUUCACUGUUCCAAAGCAACAAUCUUGUGAUAGUUGGUUUUUUCUUUGUUUGGAGUGACUUGAGUGAUGCACUCCCCUAUAAUAGGAACUGUCAUGAGUUGACAUGACCCUUUUAUGGGGAAGAAGUGGAAGAAAUCUUAGAGGGUCGCUCCUCUAUGCCUGUUUUGGAGAUUAUGGUAGGAAAGAAAUAUCAGAUUGUUGAAGAUAUGGAAUAGUUUGAUCAAACAAUCAAAUUCUAUAACUAUCACAAGCUUUGUAGAUUGGUUGAUUUCCAUCUAAGGAGAGGAAGAUUGUUUUCGUUCGCUCUCUUCCUUUUUACUUGCUUGUUGGUGUUAUUUGUGUACAUUGUGUGCCCUUAUUUAGACAUUUUUAAUAUAUUAUCUCGUUUUGCCUAAAAAAGGAUAGCAAGAAUUCAUUUAGAUACACUUCAUAUCUUCAUGUGGAACAACUAGAAAACUAAGAUAAAAUUUAAACUAAAGCUUAUUCAUGAUCCUUAUUAGCUUAGAUACAAACAACUAUUUUGACUUUUUUCUAAUGAUGUGGUGAUGUUCUUUUAUCCAGUCUCUCCAAAUACACUAUGCAACAUAAAGGAGGUGGCUUGCUAUGCCUUUUUCCAUAUGAAUUGACUAUGCUUAAUUAAUAGUAACUCAAAUGAUUGCGGGAUGGCCCAAUUAACACUAAACCAAGGGAAAACAGGAAUUCUAUACCUAUGGUCAAGAAGAAAUGAACAAUGAGAUAUUAUCUUUGUUAGAAUAUUUUCUUGGACAGUGGCCCACACGUUAAAUGCCUCUUUUUGGGCCCUAAGUUCCCAAAUCUAUAUUUUUUUUAGAAACUUAGGUCCUUGACUCUAAUAUAACAUUGUGAUGUAUACAUAUUGAAUGAAUCAUGACAGUAUGCUUUGAUGUCUCGUAUUAAUAAGCUAAUAGUUGGUCAUCUGCGGAAGUUAUUAGUAUCCUUCAUUCCAUAGGACCUCCUUUUAUAAAUGUCAAAAUUAUUCUUUUAUAGGUUUUGUCUUAUACUAGUUACUACUUAUUACUAUUUAUAUAUUGAUUUCUAAUUUCAAUAUAUAUUUGAUGUAUUUAUUUGCUUUUCGUUUAUCAGGUUAAAUUGGGAGAGGCAGGUUGGAAAGAAAGGUAUUAUGAAGAAAAGUUCUCCACAAAAACUCCUGAGGAACAAGAAGCAAUGCGGAACGAUGUUGUAAGCAUUUGAACUCUAAUAUGUUUGAUUUUUUAUUUACCAUAUUUCUAUUGUUGUGGAUUAUCUAAUUUAGUUUCUAUCUUUAGAGCUUUUUGAUUGUUAUUUAGUUUGGUUGUAUGCUUUUGACUUCAAUUGGUUGGUGGUUGCUCAAUUUGCACUUGUUCUACCUGGGAAACAACCCCCAUUGGUUGUCUAGCUUGCAUAGGAUUGAAUUGAAUUGAAUUUUAAAUUUUUAGAGGAGUAACACUCACCAUGAACCCUCAUGGUGAUUCCUAAAUAUUACAAAAUAGAAUGCAAUGCAAUGAGAAAGAAUGCAGUAAAAACUAAGAUUGUAAAUGGUCUUGUUAAAUUUCUAUUUGUUUCAAUUGAGAAUAAAACCCUUAACUAAUACCUCUUCAGUCCCCAUAUUAUCCUCCAACCCUUAAGUCCACUAUAAUAACACCAAAUAUGGUCUUAAACGUGAAUCAAUAUGUUAACAUCUCCGAUAUCUAUUAUGUCCAUUUUUUUUUUGUUUUUUAUGGGAUAUUAUGUCCAUAUUUAGCAUCCCAAGGAAAGCCAAAUUGAGGUUAGAGAAGAUUCAAAUAGAUUUCCUUUGGGGAGGUAGUAUUUUUGAGAAAUAACUCAUCUAGUGAAGUAGUUGGGUGUUAGAUGUCUCUCUUCGCUCAACAAGGUCUCCCUUUGUAAGUGGAGUUAGUGAUAUGCAUUCAAAAGAGAAGCUCUCUAAAAGCAGGUCAUAGAUGGAAAAUAUGGUGAUGAAAGAACUUUGUGGGGAUUGAAUGGAUCAAAAAAAGUUUUUUUUGCCUUUAGGUGUAGAUUAACUCUAAUUCAAUCAUACUUAUCCCACAUCCUUAACUAUUUCUUAUCUUUUUUCAAGAUUCUAGCAUCAAUAGCGUCUGAGAUUGAAAAAUUGUAAAGAGAUUUUCUUUAGUCAAGAGUUUGGGAAGGGAAAAAAUAUCAUCUCAUUAGGUGAGAUCUAAUGUGUAAAUCUGAAGAGUUUGAAGGUUUGAGUUUCUAGAUAAUGUUGAUAAGGAAUCAUGUUCUCUUAGGAAAAUGACUUUGGAGUUUCCUUAGGGAAUUAGGUUAUCAUGAGCAUUUAUGGGACACAUCUUGAUGAAUGGGACGUCAACAUUUUAGUCAAAUGAUCGCAUUAAUGCACCUGGGAGGCCAUUGCGCAGGUGUUCCAAGUUUUUCCUAGACAUGGUUACUUUGUGAUAGUGAUGGGUUGAGAAAUCGUUUUUGGGAGGAUUUGUGGUUGGAAGACCAACCUUUGUAUUCACAAUUUUCAAGUCUUUAUGGAGUUGUUAUGGUUAACAAUCUCACCAUAUAAGCUAUUUUUGGCACACUUUUCUUCUUUUUCUUGGAAUUUUAAUUUUUCAUCGCAACCGUACGGAUUUGGAGAUUGAGGACCUUGAAAGACUCAUGUCAUCCCUCACUUUGUGCACUUGUCUCCAUUGGCCCUAGAUGUGAGAACAUGGUCAUUAACCUCUUCAGGAUUAUUUUUAGGCAAAUUAUUAUAUGACUUUUUCCAUUGCAUCACAUAUAGUUCCUCUCUCCUUAACCAAUUUAAUAUGGCCAUCUAAGGUCAUAUUAUUUACAUAAGAAGGUAAAUACCAACAACUUGCUACAGUUGAGAAGACCUUUCAAAUUCCUUACUCUUGCUUGGUGUGUUUUAUGUAUAAGGGUGGAGAUUCAGACCAUCUCUUUUUGCAUUGUCCUAUAAUUUUGGGGCUCUGACCUAGUCUAUUCAGAUUAGUCAGGACUGAUUGGGUCCCACCUAAGAUUAUAUAUGUGAUAUGAUAAUCAUUUCAUAUAGGGGUUUGGGGAACUUUAUUAGAGGUAUGACCCUUUGGCUAAUUGAUUGUCUCUCAUAACUUUGGUUUGUAUGGCGAGAUAGAAAUGUUAGAAUGUUUUAGGAUAAGUCGAGGGUGUCAAGAGUGGUUGUGAGAUUUACUUCACUUCUAUUCCUCUUUCUAGGCCUCUUGCAUCAAAGCUUUUAAAGACAUUCUUCUCAAUGUUAUUCAACUCGAUUGAUAUUUAGUGUGUAGAUUAAAAGGGUUUAGACAUCAUUAAGAGGAUCUUAGUUAGGACUUGGGGAGAUGACAUCUUUGUAUAUUGUUUUAUAGUUUAAACCUUUUGUGUAGGUUCCUUGUUUGGUGGAAGAGUGCAAUCAUAUUUUAAUCGUGUUUUGGUAGUUGUGGGAAGGACUCCUUAUCCUUCUCAUGUUUCUUUUUUUCUAUAAUAAACCCUUCUUUUGGUGGAAGGUUGUGCUUCUUUAAUAGACAACCUCUUUUAAUGUGGGUAAUGAGAAGAGGGUGAGGUCUUGAAAGGAUAGAUGGUGUGGAGAUGAGCCUUUGUGUGUAUGCUUAUCUUCUUGUGUGCUUUAGUUGUAUUGGAAGAGGCACGGGUGGUAGAUUCAUGGGAUUGGACAUGUGAAGGGAGUAAUUGGAAUCCAUGUUUUUCUAGGCAUUUGAAUGAAUUGGAGCUGGACAACGUAGAAUGUUCCUUUUCUAGAUUGCAAAGGAAGGCCAAUAUUAGGGAAGGAGAGCCUUUGUGUGUAUGCUUAUCUUCUUGUGUGCUUUAGUUGUAUUGGAAGAGGCACGGGUGGUAGAUUCAUGGGAUUGGACAUGUGAAGGGAGUAAUUGGAAUCCAUGUUUUUCUAGGCAUUUGAAUGAAUUGGAGCUGGACAACGUAGAAUGUUCCUUUUCUAGAUUGCAAAGGAAGGCCAAUAUUAGGGAAGGAGAGGAUAGGGUGGUUUGAAUGUAUUUGGGGAAUAAAACCUUUUUUGUCAAGGUUCUAUAUUAUGUCUUGGAAUUGGGAAGAUCAAUUGCUGGGCACCAUCUAAAGCGAGGGGGGUUUUCCUCCAUAAAUUUUAUUUUUUAUUUUUUGCUUGGGGGCUAGUUGGGGAAAAGUGUCGAAUUUAGAUCAAUUUCAAAGUGAGGGUAGUCAUUGGUAAAUAGAUGAUUUCUUUGUAAAGUUGAGAAAGAAUCCAUUGAUCACAUCUUCCUUUAUUAUACCAAGACAAGGGUUUUAUAUUAGUUAUUUUGUUUAUUUGACAUGUCUUGGGUGAUAUCCUCUACAGAUAGAGAGACCCUCUUAGGAUGACAUGACUCCUUUGUGGGGAAAAAACAAAAGAAGUGGUGGAGAGCCACUUGCUUGUGUAUUUUUUAGAUAAUAUGGAAGGAAAGGAAUCAAAAAUUGUUUGGAAAUGAGAAGCAUUUGACCACAGGCUGAAAAACACUUUUCUUAGUAAUCUUUUAUUGUGGGUUAAGUUGUACAUAGGUGAAGUUUCAAUGCCUUAAAUUGAUUGGGUUCUCAAUAAGAGAAGGUGGGAAGGCGUAGUUUUUUGUGUUACCUCUUUGUUGGCAGUACAUUUUGAUGAUUGUUGCAUACACCCUUUGUACUUAAUGUGCUACUUCUUUUGGCACUUUUAUAUAAUAUACUCACUUUAUUUGCCUAUAUAAAAAAAAACUCCAAUAUCUAUGAGGAACAAUGUUCAUUCAGCAGAUUUUCAUCCAAAAUCCUAAGCUUUGUCCACAGGAGAAAAAAAUGUGUUUGGUGUAUGAGAACCUUAUGGGUUCUUUAUUAGACUCAUUAUCUCAUGUGGGAAUUCUUAUCAUGUAUCUUUCUGUUACCUAAAAUUACCUUGUUUUGUCAGUGCAGAAAAGUUGACAUGACAGCCUAAAAGAACCAUGUAAACACUUCUCUCAUUUAUUAGAUUCAGUUGUGGCAGACAGUUUUUUCUGCCAUGAUAUACCUGAUCCAUAGAUAAUAUUAUGAAUAAUAGAAAAUUUUUUGUUUACCUAUCAAAAAAAAAAAAGGAAAAAAAAUAAUAGAAUUUUUUUUGUUAUUGCCCCUUAAAAUCAAUAAUAGGUAAGAGAAUCUAAAAAUAUCAAAUUUAGAUAUUUGCACUCGGACGAAAUAAGGAAACAUGACAUAUAUGUUUUGGAUUAGAUUCCAUUUUGAGAAAGUUGAAAAAGUACCAUCACAUUGGAAAGGUCCCAAACACCUUCCCUUCCUCAAUGCAUUUCUUAACUUAUCUCUUCAUUAUCUCAUGUGGGAAGUCCCAUUAGGUAUCCUUCUAUUACCUAGGAUUACCAUUUCUUGAGCGAUGCUUCUUUAGUGUAGUUGAUGUAUGAGAGCCUAAAAGAACCAUGUAAACACUUCUCUCAUUUAUUAGAUUCAGUUGUGGCAGACAGUUUUUUCUGCCAUGAUAUACCUGAUCCAUAGAUAAUAUUAUGAAUAAUAGAAAAUUUUUUGUUUACCUAUCAAAAAAAAAAAAGGAAAAAAAAUAAUAGAAUUUUUUUUGUUAUUGCCCCUUAAAAUCAAUAAUAGGAAGAGAAUCUAAAAAUAUCAAAUUUAGAUAUUUGCACUCGGACGAAAUAAGGAAACAUGACAUAUAUGUUUUGGAUUAGAUUCCAUUUUGAGAAAGUUGAAAAAGUACCAUCACAUUGGAAAGGUCCCAAACACCUUCCCUUCCUCAAUGCAUUUCUUAACUUAUCUCUUCAUUAUCUCAUGUGGGAAGUCCCAUUAGGUAUCCUUCUAUUACCUAGGAUUACCAUUUCUUGAGCGAUGCUUCUUUAGUGUAGUUGAUGUAUGAGAGUUGGGUCCUUUUCGUUAGAUGCUACUUCCGGGUCCAAAAAUUAAUUUAAAAAGAAGUGAAUUAACUCCUCUUGGAGGUCUCUAAUGUGGAAAAUUUGAUCUCGUUGGUCCCUCUUUUCAAGGCUUAGGGUGGGGGAUUAUGAGGAUAGUUUUUAUUUGGAGGGGCUCUAAGGAUGGUAAGUUCUCAAUUGUAUUUUUUGGUUUUUUUUUUUUUUUUUUUUUUUUUUUUUUUUUUUUUUUUUCUGUUAGCCAAAAGGAUGAUAAUGCUUUCCCAAUGAAUGAGAUUUAGGGUUUGUUGGCAUCCUUAAAAGUGGGUUCUUUGCCUGGGAAGCAUUAGGGUAAAAUUCUUAUUUUACAUUAGCUUAAAAGGGGAGGUUGGCAUUUCUAGAAUUGGCGUCUUUUGCAAAAGUGAAGACAGAUGAAUUGAUCAUGUUCUUUUACAUAUUGAAACAACAAGGAACCUAUAGAUUUUCUCCUCUUUUUCUAGUACGGGUUGGGUGAGUCCUCCUAUGGUGAGAGAGACCUUAUUGGGUAGGAAUGGGAGUUUAGGAGGCAAAAAGAGAAGGAACAUGUGGAGAUCUAUGCCACUAUGUUUGGACUGUUUGGUAAGAGAGAAGUCUUGGAUAUUUGGAAGAUGUAGAGCAAACAAUUCAAGCAUUUAAACACUCCAGAUGUUUCCUUCUCCUUUGGUCAAGAAAGUCCCUUGGUGCAGGAUCUUUGUCUAUGUUAGCUUUUGUGUGCAUGGUUCAGUUGGUUUGGUUUUGAGCAUUAAAUUGUAAUUAAAUCGAUUUAGUCUAUUUGGAUGCAUAGAGAACCAAACUAACCAAAUUUGAAUGGAGAAAAGGGUUAGUUUGGUUCGGUUCACAAAUAAUAAUUGUCUAAAUCGGUCUAAGUUGGUUCGAUUUGGUUAAAAAAUUAACCAUUUUUGGUCAAUUUAAGAUAAAAGAAAAAUCCCUAGAAUUUUGUUUGCAAGCCAAAAAGCAUUUAUAAUACUAUCACAACUGGGGCCUUCAUCAAGUCAUUUUACUACAACCUAAACGAUUAACGUGUAAGGAUCAGAGUUUAAUCAAUAAUACACAACUAAAUUUGUAUUCUAAUAAUACACAUCAACCCGAUUUGUUGAGAAGUGUGAAAAAUUAGGAACAUUCAAUAUAUAUAUUUUUUUUGAUAAAUAAAGAAGAGUAUAUAUUAAAAAGAGGCGCCAAAAGAGCGAUAGAUAAAUACACCCACCCUCACACAACUCACAACUCAAACAAAAAAGAAGCUACCAAAAAAGAGGUGCAAAAACAUCCCCACCUUCAAUGAGAGCCCAACAAAUCAAUGAAACUAAUUAACCUUGAAGGACCAUCCUUGACAAACAUCUUAGCCUCCGAGCAAAGAAAGCAAACAAAAGAUCCUUUUAGCCUUUGGAUGGAAAGCAUGUUGUCUUCGAAGGCAAUUCUAUUCAUUGCCUUCCAAACCGUCCAAAAAAGGCAUAAGAGGCCUACUCUCCAAACUUUCUUGUGCUUUUUGCCUACAAAUGAACCAUUCCAACCCAAAAGCAUUGCUCUAACCAAAGAAGGAAGCACCCAAGACACCCCAAAAAGAGUAAAGAAGACCUCCUAUAAAACCCUUAUCUUUACACAUCGGAGAUCUAUGGAUUCUUCAUGCAUUUGGUAAAGAUGACAUCUAUUCGCUAAAGACCAUCUUCUUUUUUGAAUUUGGUCCAAGGUUAAAGCUUUUCCCCACAUGGCUUCCCAAGCAAAGAAGCUUGCUUUGGGCUGCACCCACAAAUUCCAAAUGAUUUAAUCAUGAACAUUUAAUAUUGUAAACCUUAAAAAUUCACAUUGCAAAGGAGCCAUAUAAGACACAUGUAUUAAUAUGUGUAUAAAUAAUUAUCAGUUUGGUUUAGUUUGUUUUCAAUUUUUGGAAUGGGAAAAACUGUGGACUUAACUGGUUUGAUCUGGUUUUAACAUAUAAAGUCAAAAUUAUGAAAUAUAUAUAUAUAUAUAUAUAUAAUGCCUAAUCAGUUUGGGCUAGUUGAGGUGGUUUUUUUUGAGCCACUCGGUUUUUUUUUUCACAUCCAUAAUGUUACAUUUAGUGACUGGUUGGAUUCUUGUUAAUAGGAGUGUGCUGAUUUUUUCUUUUCCUUGUUGCCUUUGGGUGUCCACUGUAACCUGUAUACUUCCUAUAUUCAGAAAUUCAUGUUUGCCUAUAUCUAUAUAUCUAUAUAUGUAUAAUGAGUCAUUGAUAUGAUACUUACAUCCCAUAAAUGCAAUUAUACUAAGUUCCAAUUGAAUUGAAGUUUUACUUUCACAUUCAUUUAAAAGAGUGCAAAAAAUAAAGAUGACAGAUACUAUGGUUUUGUUUCCCUUUUCUUUUUGGCAUUUCUUGCAAAGACAUUUAUGAAUUUCUCCUCGACCAAUGCAUUUCGAGAGAAGCUCUUGGAUUUACCUCGUUUAUAUAUAUAUAUUUUUGAUAAUUAAGAAAGGGUAUUAAAGAAUGCAAAAAGCGCACGAAAGUGCAUGGGUUGUAUAUAAUGAGCACCAAAAAAAGAAAUAGAAAAGGAGGAACACAAAAAUAAGUCCUCCCUCAACAAAAAUACUCCACCAAAGGCAUAUAGCCUCCGCCUCUGUACACCUUUACUUUUAUUUGUUGGCAAUCUUCCCUUUAUUUUUGUUUUAUAGUGUAGAAGGAUGUCGAUGCUAUAUUCUACUUUAUUGUUUGAAAGCUUGCAUUUUGUGGUUGUUGAUUUUUGCCUUUUUUGAUGUUUAGUGGGUUAUGCACUCUUCAGUGAGAGGGAUGCUCUUGAGUUGGGGCAGCUCCUUUGUUGGCAAAAAAGGAAAAGGGCUUGCAAGGUUGCUCCUUUAUGCCUUGUUUGGUUCAUUUGAAGGAAGAGAAAUAGGAGAGCCUUUGAGAAUUGUGAUAGCUUGGACUGAAUAAUGAAAAGUUCCUUUUUAUAUCUUUUUUGGGAAUGGGUUAGAUUGUACAUGGGGAAUGGACCUAUGUCACUGUUAGAUUUUAUGGAGUGGUUAGGCUCUUCAUGGGGUGUGGUUGCUGGAUUUUGUGUAUUUGCGCUUUCUUGUUCUUUGGUUGCACUGUAUACAUUGUAUAUACUUUUUUAAAACAAUGAAUACAAUCUUCAUUUACCCAUCAAAAAAAGGAUGUCAGUAUUUCCAACUAUUUUGCUGGAAAACAUAUCUACAGCUGAACCACACACAGGAGGGUUUCAAGUGUGGAAAUGGGUUUGGGGUUUUGAAAUCUCUUAUAUUGAUUGUGUACAAGUCAUUAAGGAGAGAUCUUGAUUUUCUCUGGUAUUUGUCUUUUGCGUGUAGGGACUCUUUCUUGUGAUUGCCUUCUGAUUUUCCUAUCUGACGCUGAUAAAGCAUGCAAUUACUGUGGUAGUAAGUUGAUAGAAAGUUUCUUUUCUUCCUUGAUUAGGUUUUGAAGUACACAGAAGGCCUCUGUUGGGUUAUGCACUAUUACUAUGAAGGGGUAUGUUCUUGGCAAUGGUGAGUUACUAAUGUUUUCUGCAACAUCUUUAAUUUAGCCUGCUAUUAUUGUUGCCUUUCAUUUCCAUUUUCUUUUGAACUUGGUCUCUCUCUUUCUCUGGUGCACUACUGAAGGAAAAGAUUAGUUUCUCUCUAUGGUUGUUUUCUGCAACAUCUUUAAUUUAGCCUGCUAUUAUUGUUUUCUUUCAUUUCCAUUUUCUUUUGAACUUGCUCUCUCUCUUUCUCUCUCUCUCUCUCUCUCUCUCUGGUGCACUACUGAAGGAAGAGAUUGGUUUCUCUCUAUGGUUGUGGUUCACUUCUUUGACAUAUGGUUUUUUUUUUUUGAAAUAUUUGUGCCAAAGGGACAAGAUAAUCUACACAUUUAGAAAAAUGACCUCCACUUAUUGAAAAUUGUAAAUGUAACCUCAAUUUGACAUUAUUACCUCUGCACUUCGUUUUCAAAAAGCAUAUGGAUGUGAGAUGGGGAUGAAAAAAAGUUAUGGAUAUUUAUGUCCAAAAAAAGUUAUAUUUAAUGAUUCUAAGAGAUGGAGGUUAUUCUUCUGAAUAUGGGAUUUUUUUUCCCUUUUAAUCAAAUAACCCUAUUUUUUUUAAACAAUAUGAAAAUCCCUCUUUUACUAUUAUGGUAAAAAAUAAAAAAAUAAAAAAAGACUAAAAAAUAGUAAUUACACAAUGCAAAAUAAAUUAUGUUUUUAAAACUUCUCCCACAAACAAUCUAACUCAAAUGCAAAAUAAAUUAUGUUUUUAAAACUUCUCCCACAAACAAUCUAACUCUUUUCUCUCAAUUUCUUGUCUUAUGAUCCCAGUUUCACACUCUCACGUGCAUUGCUAGUAUAUUUCACUUUCUUCAUGUACUUGUUUGUGUGUAUGCAUGUGUAAUUCAUUAAAGGCACCGGAAAGGGGACAUGGCAUUGAAGGAGGGAAUAUUUAAGUGUGGAGUAUAUUUGGAGGAACAAUUAGUGUUAUCAUUGUCUGGAAAUUUAUGGUAUACAAAGAUAAAAGUUGAAACUGCCUAUUCUGAAGUGGAGUUCUUGUUGCAACUGUGGACAGUAGGAUGCAUUACUUUUGGUCUUAGCUUAUGGGUAUAGUUUUAUUGCUCCUCUGCUUCGGAUUUUCAUGGGGCUUGGGAUUCUAGCAUUUCAUCCUAAUGUUGCAUAUUGAAAAUGAUGUUGGUGCAUGCUGCAAAUUGUGUUCUGUAUUCUUCUAUUCAUUAGAGAAUAAUUACAACCUAUUUAUACACAAGAGCCAGCUAGACUUAUGGUAAACAUACAGAGAAUUAAGGUAGCAUAAUUACAAGAUAUUCUAAAGUAAGAAAAUAUUAACAAAUCAGGAAGAAUUGGAAAGGAAUAGGAAAUAGUUGACCAUGGUCUUGAUAAGGGAACAAAAUUAAGACAGCUGUAGAUUCUCUCAAUAAUUCAAUGGCUAGCUGGAAGAAUAUUCCAGGAUCUUCAAUGGUGCAAAAGGCUCCUAUGGUCACAAACUUACAUUUCUUACUCUUACAAUGGAUAUAGAUGAACUAAGAUUCUUUUAAUUCCUUUUAAAGAUAGUUAUUUCUCUUUUAACAUGAAAUGCUGAUUUAUCAAUAAUGGGCCCGAGUUUAUUUCCUGUGUUGAACAAGAAUAUCCAAUUUUUACAGCAUGUUUCCUGCACUAUAUAGAUAGUCACCCAUAGUAAACCAGUUAAAGUAAUCUUGAGUGACCUCGCAGGUCUACCUUUCAAAGGAUGAGCAUAUCUUACUAUAACAGAUUAAUCCUUUUGGCUUAAAAGUUUUUAUUUGAUAAGCAUAAUUUCUUUGAUUCUUUAUUUCAGGUUUUAUCCUUAUCACUAUGCACCAUUUGCUUCUGAUCUCAAAGAUCUUGGUCAGUUGAAUAUAAGCUUUGAACUGGGUUCUCCCUUCAAACCAUUUAAUCAGCUAUUGGGAGUUUUUCCAGCUGCCAGGUAACUUGCUACUACUUUCGCAUAAAAUUUAGUAUUUUGCAGGGCACUAACAACUGAAACAUUUGCAGCUCCCAUGCACUUCCUGAGGAAUAUAGGAAAUUGAUGACUGAUCCAAACUCACCUAUUAUUGAUUUUUAUCCAACAGGUAUUCCUUUUUACUAGCUAAAGGGCCCAUACAUUUUCCUCCUUAAGUGAGUUCAGGCUUUACAAGACCUUUUCCCCCUGCUUCUGAACAUUUGUUCUGUGUAUCAGAUUUUGAGGUGGACAUGAAUGGCAAACGGUUUGCUUGGCAGGUUGGUUUUUCUUUUAUUCUGUAUUGCAACUUUAUUUUGCUUUUCAGGCAUAACCACUUGUGGAAAGUAUCUGAGUGGAUUUUAUGAUUUUCUUUUUGCCCUCUAAUUGCAGGGUAUUGCAAAAUUGCCUUUCAUUGAUGAAGCUCGCCUCCUGGCAGAGGUUCAAAAAAUUGAGCACACUUUAACGGUAUGAUCCUUCAUUCUAUGCAAGCUUAAGAUGCAUACUCAGGUAUUACCUUUCUUUUUCCAAGAUGAUCUUUAAUUUCGUCUAAUUUUGUUGAGUGCCACAUUUUUCUGCAGGAGGAGGAAUUCCGGAGAAACAGCGUGAUGUUUGACAUGCUUUUUGUGGCUCUAUCGCAUCCUCUCUCUCCAUAUAUAUUUUCUCUUGAUGAUCGUUGCAAAAAAUUGACCGACAACGAGCGCACGGAAGUCAAGGAACAACUUGAUCCCAGAGCCAGGUUGUGUCGUGUUUCUUAGAUUUGAUUUUAUUAUGUUUACUUUGAGCUUUGGUAAGAGGUUGGUUUCGCGAGGUGCAGAUGCCCUUCCUUUCCACAUUUUCUAGUGUUUGUAAUUCAGUGGUUUCUGCCUAUUAUGAACCAUCUUCUUAUCUGAAUUGUGGUUAAGAUGAUAUCACUGAACCUGGAGUUGUCAUUAAGGCAUUAGCCUUAUUGUUUGAGUUGCACAUAUACAGUGCCUGCCAGUUUCUUCUUGUUAUGAAUCGUCUUAUCUGAAUUGUGGUCAGAUGAUAUCACUGAACCUGGAUGAUAGUUCUGCAUUUUCUUGAUGUUGCAGUUAUAUGAGUUGUCAUUAAGGCAUUAGCCUUAUUGUUUGAGUUGCACAUAUACAGUACCUGCCAGUUUCUUCUUAUUAUGAACCGUCAUCUUAUCUGAAUUGUGGUCGGAUGAUAUCACUGAACCUGGAUGAUAGUUAUGCAUUUCUUGAUGUUGCAGAUAUAUGAACUGUCAUUAAGGCAUUAGCCUUAUUGUGUAAGUUGCACUUAUACAGUGUACUUUUUAGCUGAUUAAAAAGAUACCGUACAAUUUGAAUGCCUUAAUAAUAUGAUUCAGCCAUAUAGCCAUAGAAUGCAUGACUGAUACUAAUUGUGCUUCUUUCCAGUUGCAUCAUUUCCUAGUCUCUGUAUUGCAAAUGUGUAAAAUGUUUCCUGUUUGCUAGCAACCCUGGAGUUUGUAUGGACUGUUUUCCAUGAUAAGAUGAAUUCAAGAUAUGUUCGGAUUAUUUUCUGAUUUACUUAUGGGUACAUGCAGUGGUGGGAUGAAUGGUUACAUAUCCCUUUGUGGUGGAGAUCCUUGCCCUCCUAUUUUCAGAUCACCUAUUGCUAGUUUGGAAGAUAUUAUGGAUAACCAAGUCAUGUAAGUCUCCAAGCACCAAGCAUAUUCUUUGAUAAGAUUAAUUAAAAUGGUAAUAUGUUAAGACCUGUUACCCUCUUCUUUUUCAUUUUUUCUUUUGUUCCCUUGCUGUUCAGCUGUGCUAUAUACAGACUUCCAGAUGCUCAUAAGCACAUUACUCGACCACCUGUUGGAGUUACAUUCCCAAAGAAGGUAUCACUGCUAUUGAGAUUUCAGAGUCUAGUUUGUCAACAAAUUUCUCUUCCUUCGCUAUUUAUUUAUUUUCUACAUUCUUCUGCCUUCAUAAGCUUUGAUGUAUAUAAAUCAAGUUUUGUUGUGUGUAAUUGCAAUGCCGCUUUUUUAUUUCUAUUUUUAUUUUCUAGCCAAUGACUUGCUGUUGGCAGAUGAUUGGAUAUCCCCAUUUUUUUUUCUUUUCCUUAUAACGAUGUGUAAUUUGGAAAGUAAUAAUGGGCACUUAUGUUACCAACGAUGGUUAUCCUCUUCUAGCAUUAUAUGAUUAGAAGAUGGCUGUUAUUCUGCAUGCACAUGUCUCUUGUUUCUCAAAGGACUGGUUCCCUUGCAAGCCUUUACCAUUUUUUGUUUUAUUAUUUCAUUUAGUAUGCUACUUUAUUUUUCUAUUCUGUCCCUCUGAUAUCUCAAUGCCCUCUGGUUGGUUGAUUUGCUUGUUUCCUAGGAAAAUUUCAGUGUUACUUUCUUUAUUAUGUACACAGCUUCUUAAAAAUAUGUAUGAUAAUCUAUCAUUGUUGUAGAUGAAAGAAGACAGAAUUACUCUGUAAUUUGAGCCAUUUAUUAUGUUUUAUUAAGCUACGUUUUUUCUUUUACCUUUUUCUUUGUUUUUUAAUAUUAUUUUUAAAGGAUGAAGCAACUGUACUGUAUGAAACCUGUUUCUUUGCAUUAAGAAGGUCGCACAAAGCUACGUUUGCUGCUUUUGUUAUUUUUCACUGGUCUUGUAUCAUUUCAGCGCUUUUUUAGCAUCCUUCUUGUCUUCUUACAGAUUGUUAGUGUGGGGGAUCUGAAACCUGAACCUGUUCUGUGGCAUGAAGACAAUGGAAGAAGGCCCUGGGAAAAUGGAAGGUAUACUAUAUUAAAGUUCAUUUUGUUUAAUAGCCAGAGCUCAAGGGUAGAGUUAACUUCUGGGAAAUUUUUUAUGUUGUUCAUUUAUUUAUUCUUUCUCUAUGUUCUUUGUUUCUCCUGUUUGUAUGUACUACUGGUUUUCUAAUUGUUUCUGGCUCUCUUUUUCCAUUUCUUUUUCAGACAAAACCUCCCUGGGACUAUUUCUGGUCGACAGCUUGGGGAGGCAGCACAUCGGCUUGUUGUUAAUAGCUUACAAGUAAAGGCAGAACGUAAUGGCUUUGGCGAUCAGAUGCACGCUCCACCACCUUAUC
rnacentral:lncRNA from 1 species